GUGAGGAAUAUUGGGCAAUGGGCGAAAGCCUGACCCAGCCACGCCGCGUGAGUGAUGAAGGCCUUCGGGUUGUAAAGCUCUGUGGGGAGGGAAGAAAAAGCGCAGGAGUAACUGCCUGUGUGUUGACGGUACCUCCUUAGCAAACACCGGCUAACUCUGUGCCAGCAGCCGCGGUAAUACAGAGGGUGCAAACGUUGCUCGGAAUUACUGGGCGUAAAGCGCGUGUAGGCUGACAUGCAAGUCGGGUGUGAAAUCCCAGGGCUCAACCUGGGAAUUGCGCUUGUGACUGCAGUGCUGGAGUACGGCAGAGGGGGAUGGAAUUCCGCGUGUAGCAGUGAAAUGCGUAGAUAUGCGGAGGAACACCGAUGGCGAAGGCAGUCCCCUGGGCCUGUACUGACGCUCAUGCACGAAAGCGUGGGGAGCAAACAGGAUUAGAUACCCUAGUAGUCC
rnacentral:rRNA from 1 species